rnacentral:rRNA from 1 species
AUGAACGCUGGCGGCGUGCCUAAUACAUGCAAGUCGAGCGAACAGACGAGGAGCUUGCUCCUCUGACGUUAGCGGCGGACGGGUGAGUAACACGUGGAUAACCUACCUAUAAGACUGGGAUAACUUCGGGAAACCGGAGCUAAUACCGGAUAAUAUAUUGAACCGCAUGGUUCAAUAGUGAAAGACGGUUUUGCUGUCACUUAUAGAUGGAUCCGAGCCGCAUUAGCUAGUUGGUAAGGUAACGGCUUACCAAGGCGACGAUGCGUAGCCGACCUGAGAGGGUGAUCGGCCACACUGGAACUGAGACACGGUCCAGACUCCUACGGGAGGCAGCAGUAGGGAAUCUUCCGCAAUGGGCGAAAGCCUGACGGAGCAACGCCGCGUGAGUGAUGAAGGUCUUCGGAUCGUAAAACUCUGUUAUUAGGGAAGAACAAAUGUGUAAGUAACUAUGCACGUCUUGACGGUACCUAAUCAGAAAGCCACGGCUAACUACGUG